UACGUAGGGUGCGAGCGUUGUCCGGAAUUAUUGGGCGUAAAGGGCUCGUAGGCGGUCUGUCGCGUCGGGAGUGAAAACUCAGGGCUUAACCCUGAGCCUGCUUCCGAUACGGGCAGACUAGAGGUAUGCAGGGGAGAACGGAAGUUCCUGGUGAGCGGUGAAAUGCGCAGAUAUCAGGAGGAACACCGGUGGCGAAGGCGGGUCUCUGGGCGAAGUGACUGCGUGAGGAGCGAAAGCGUGGGGAGCAACAGG
rnacentral:rRNA from 1 species